rnacentral:rRNA from 1 species
GUCCACAAUGACUCUCGGCAACGGAUAUCUCGGCUCUUGCAUCGAUGAAGAACGUAGCGAAAUGCGAUACUUGGUGUGAAUUGCAGAAUCCCGUGAACCAUCGAGUCUUUGAACGCAAGUUGCGCCCGAAGCCAUUAGGCCGAGGGCACGCCUGCCUGGGUGUCACCAAU